GACAGAGGCCUCGAGCGUUAGGCGGAAUCACUGGGCUUAAAGCGUGUGUAGGCGGAUCGUUAAGUGUCUUGUGAAAUCCCACGGCUCAACCGUGGAACUGCUUGGUAUACUGGUCGUCUUGAGCCACCUAGGGGCAACCGGAACAAACGGUGGAGCGGUGAAAUGCGUAGAUAUCGUUUGGAACGCCAAUGGUGAAAACAGGUUGCUGGGGGUGUGCUGACGCUGAGACACGAAAGCCAGGGGAGCAAACGGG
rnacentral:rRNA from 1 species